AGCGAACGUUUGCGGCGGGCCUAACACAUGCAAGUCGAACGAGAACCACUUCGGUGGGGACAGUGGCGCACGGGUGCGUAACACGUGGAUAACCAACCUUCUGGUUCGGGAUAACACUGGGAAACUGGUGCUAAUACCGGAUGUGUCCAAAGAGUCAUCAGGCUUCUUGGAGAAAGGCACGCAAGGGCUGCCAGAAGACGGGUCCGCGUCCCAUCAGCUAGUUGGUGAGGUAAUGGCUCACCAAGGCGAAGACGGGUAGCUGGUCUGAGAGGAUGAUCAGCCACACUGGAACUGAGACACGGUCCAG
rnacentral:rRNA from 1 species